AUUGAACGCUGGCGGCAUGCUUUACACAUGCAAGUCGAACGGCAGCGCGGGGCAACCUGGCGGCGAGUGGCGAACGGGUGAGUAAUAUAUCGGAACGUACCCAAGAGUGGGGGAUAACGUAGCGAAAGUUACGCUAAUACCGCAUACGAUCUAAGGAUGAAAGUGGGGGAUCUUCGGACCUCAUGCUCCUGGAGCGGCCGAUAUCUGAUUAGCUAGUUGGUGAGGUAAAGGCUCACCAAGGCGACGAUCAGUAGCUGGUCUGAGAGGACGACCAGCCACACUGGAACUGAGACACGGUCCAGACUCCUACGGGAGGCAGCAGUGGGGAAUUUUGGACAAUGGGCGCAAGCCUGAUCCAGCAAUGCCGCGUGAGUGAAGAAGGCCUUCGGGUUGUAAAGCUCUUUUGUCAGGGAAGAAACGGUAGAGGCUAAUAUCCUUUGCUAAUGACGGUACCUGAAGAAUAAGCACCGGCUAACUACGUGCCAGCAGCCGCGGUAAUACGUAGGGUGCAAGCGUUAAUCGGAAUUACUGGGCGUAAAGCGUGCGCAGGCGGUUUUGUAAGUCUGUCGUGAAAGCCCCGGGCUCAACCUGGGAAUUGCGAUGGAGACUGCAAGGCUUGAAUCUGGCAGAGGGGGGUAGAAUUCCACGUGUAGCAGUGAAAUGCGUAGAGAUGUGGAGGAACACCGAUGGCGAAGGCAGCCCCCUGGGUCAAGAUUGACGCUCAUGCACGAAAGCGUGGGGAGCAAACAGGAUUAGAUACCCUGGUAGUCCACGCCCUAAACGAUGUCUACUAGUUGUCGGGUUUUAAUUAACUUGGUAACGCAGCUAACGCGUGAAGUAGACCGCCUGGGGAGUACGGUCGCAAGAUUAAAACUCAAAGGAAUUGACGGGGACCCGCACAAGCGGUGGAUGAUGUGGAUUAAUUCGAUGCAACGCGAAAAACCUUACCUACCCUUGACAUGUACGGAAGCUCGGAGAGAUCUGAGUGUGCUCGAAAGAGAGCCGUAACACAGGUGCUGCAUGGCUGUCGUCAGCUCGUGUCGUGAGAUGUUGGGUUAAGUCCCGCAACGAGCGCAACCCUUGUCAUUAGUUGCUACGCAAGAGCACUCUAAUGAGACUGCCGGUGACAAACCGGAGGAAGGUGGGGAUGACGUCAAGUCCUCAUGGCCCUUAUGGGUAGGGCUUCACACGUCAUACAAUGGUACAUACAGAGGGCCGCCAACCCGCGAGGGGGAGCUAAUCCCAGAAAGUGUAUCGUAGUCCGGAUCGCAGUCUGCAACUCGACUGCGUGAAGUUGGAAUCGCUAGUAAUCGCGAAUCAGAAUGUCGCGGUGAAUACGUUCCCGGGUCU
rnacentral:rRNA from 1 species